rnacentral:lncRNA from 1 species
GAGCAAAGCGUACAGGGAAAGCUCCGUUUGUGGUGAGAUUAUACACUGGCAUUUAGAGAGAAUGAUCAUUGAGUGCUAACGUAGGACUUCUUCCAAAUUAUGAGAAGAAAUAGGGAGGGAAAGCUGGGGGAUUGCUGUUGCUGUUUUGUCUUCUGAGACAGGGUUUCUCUGUGUAGCCCUGGCCAUUUUGGAAGUAGCCCUACAGGCCAGGCUGUCCUUAAACUCAGAGAUCCACCUGCCUCUGCCUCCUGGUGCUGGAACUAGAGGUGUGUGCCACCACACCCAGCUUGUUGAUGGAUACUGUCUUCCAAAGGCCUGGUGGAAUGGAACCUUUUCUCAUGUGGUCAAAGCUAAGGACUGAAAGGAUUUAUGUAGCAUUUUUAAAAACAGCUUAGGGGCUAGGCUGAAGCUCAGUUGGCAGAGCUCUUACUGAACACACGUGAUGUCUUGGGUUUCAUCCCUAACAGUGUAUACACCGAGUGUGGUGCAUACCCGAGUCCCAAGUAUUUGAGGACAACACUCGGAGAAUCAAAAGUUAAAGGGCAUCUUCACCACAAAAAGUUCAAGACCGACUCCUGUAACUGGGCUUUUCUUCCUGACCACCUUGUUCCCAGAAAUAAUGACUCUGAGACUAAUCAUUUACUAAUAAAUGCUUAGGUCAAUAA